ensembl:lncRNA
CAAACUGAAGCAUUUCGUAUACAUUAUUUGUCUUCAGGAAGGCAGUGAGUUUCUGCGCAACAGCUUUUUCUAAAUAAUUUCAGCAAAAUGGGAGAUUCGAUAUAGGCCGAUAGUUUAAAAAAAAACAUUUUCCGGGUCAAGGUUUGGCUUUUUCAAGAGAGUCUUUAUUACUGCCACUUUUAGUGAGUUUGGUACACAUCCGGUGGAUAGAGAGCCUUUUAUUAUGUUCAACAAAGGAGGGCCAAGCACAGGAAGCAGCUCUUUCAGUAGUUUAGUUGGAAGCUUAUGGAUGGCUACAACAAGCAUUUGUUGGCAGUUAUCUUUGCCAAAGACUGUGCAACCAACUACUCGGUCCGGGGUGCACACAAUGUCCAUUUACUAAAAUAAAAUUGGUUCUGCAAUGUAGAAAAAGCCAAUAACAAGGUGAGGUGACCAAAAGUUAUAUCUAAAUGUAAACUUAUUUUAGAAGAAAUAGAGACAUUUUUAAAGAAAAGUGCAAGGGUGCUUUAAUCAGAUUCCAUCAUGGAUGAUUGUUUUAUCCAUUUGAAUACAGGGGAUAUCAUAGGCCACUCCAUUAGUAGACUACUGCAGAGGAACCCUCAUGUUCUCUCCUGGAUCACAUUGGUAUUCACUAUUACACAUGCGCCGAAUACAACAGGUGUAGGUAGACAUUACAGUGAAAUGCUGAAUACAACAGGUGUAGUAGACCUCACAGUGAAAUGCUGAAUACAACAGGUGUAGGUAGACAUUACAGUGAAAUGCUGAAUACAACAGGUGUAGGUAGACAUUACAGUGAAAUGCUGAAUACAACAGGUGUAGGUAGACCUUACAGUGAAAUGCUGAAUACAACAGGUGUAGGUAGACAUUACAGUGAAAUGCUGAAUACAACAGGUGUAGGUAGACCUUACAGUGAAAUGCUGAAUACAACAGGUGUAGUAGACAUUACAGUGAAAUGCUGAAUACAACAGGUGUAGUAGACAUUACAGUGAAAUGCUGAAUACAACAGGUGUAGGUAGACAUUACAGUGAAAUGCUGAAUACAACAGGUGUAGGUAGACAUUACAGUGAAAUGCUGAAUACUACAGGUGUAGUAGACCUCACAGUGAAAUGCUGAAUACAACAGGUGUAGUAGACCUUACAGUGAAAUGCUGAAUACAACAGGUGUAGUAGACCUUACAGUGAAAUGCUGAAUACAACAGGUGUAGUAGACCUCACAGUGAAAUGCUGAAUACAACAGGUGUAGGUAGACAUUACAGUGAAAUGCUGAAUACAACAGGUGUAGUAGACCUCACAGUGAAAUGCUGAAUACAACAGGUGUAGUAGACCUCACAGUGAAAUGCUGAAUACAACAGGUGUAGUAGACCUCACAGUGAAAUGCUGAAUACAACAGGUGUAGUAGACCUCACAGUGAAAUGCUGAAUACAACAGGUGUAGGUAGACAUUACAGUGAAAUGCUGAAUACAACAGGUGUAGGUAGACAUUACAGUGAAAUGCUGAAUAC